CCUUCGAUAGCUCAGUUGGUAGAGCGGUGGACUGUAGAGACAACUCAAAGCGAUAGUAAUCCAUAGGUCACUGGUUCAAAUCCGGUUCGAAGGA
rnacentral:tRNA from 1 species